GGAUUAGAUACCCUGGUAGUCCACGCUGUAAACGAUGCAUGCUAGUUGUUGUCCCUUUGGGGGCAGUGACGCAGUUAACGCCCUAAGCAUGCCACCUGGGGAGUACGUUCGCAAGAAUGAAACUCAAAGGAAUUGACGGGGGCCCGCACAAGCGGUGGAGCAUGUGGCUUAAUUCGAUGCAACGCGAAGAACCUUACCCGGGCUAAAUCUAUGGCGACAGGCUGGGAAACCAGUUCUCCCUUCGGGGCGCCAUAGAAGGUGCUGCAUGGCUGUCGUCAGCUCGUGCCG
rnacentral:rRNA from 1 species